UAGUCAAUGCUCGCAAGAGUGAACUAGCUAACUGAAAUCAAAGAGUUUAUUUAAGCUCAUGAUGUCGUAAGGGAAAAUAAUGAUAAUACCUUACUAUUAGUGUCGUCCAAAUCUGGUGCCAGAAGACUCGGUAAGACCAGAGACGCAAACGUUAAUCAUCAUAAUCAGGCGUAAAGGGUUUGUAGGCAGCUUUCACCCGCCCGGCUUCGCCGGGAUAUUACUAUUACAAAUAAAGUAGUUUAAUUGAAAGCUAGAAUCAAAAAGAGGUUAUAGUGUAUAACGCCUAGAGGAGGGCUGAUAUCCAUAGAUCCUAGGCAGAAUACUCAGGGCGAAGGCCACUCUCCACUAAUGAUUGACGCUGAGAAACGAAGGUUAGGGUAGGAAAUAGGAUUAGAUACCCCGGUACUCCUUUCUGUAAACGAUGAAUGGUAGUCAUUAGUUUUUUUAAACUAGAGACGAAGUUAACACAAUAACCAUUCCGCCUUGUGAGUACUACUGCAAAGUAGAAAACAAAAAAAUUAGUCGGUCUCGAAGCAAACGGAGUGAAGCAUGUUAUUUAAU
rnacentral:rRNA from 1 species